UGCCCUGCCACUGAGGACCAGACUGACUGACCUGAUCACCCAGCUGACAUUGCUGGAGAUUGCUCCUGGAGUCUCCUCAGCACAGGGCAACAGAGAUGACAAGCAGCAGAUCCACGUUAUUGAUGAAGAGACCAUCACUCAGGAAGAGAGUUUUGCUUCAGGGCUGAAGGGUUACUGUGCCGCAGACACCAGGCUCACAAAGACUGCUUGCUCCAGUAUUACCUUCUGCUGUUGACACUGUGUCACCUGGUGGCGUCCCUUCUCCAGGAGCUACUCUCGCUAGUGGCAUCACUUCAGAACUCUGAUGCUGCCCCUGGCUCCAAUCAUGGCUGAACUCGCGUGAAUGUCUCCCACUUGGGCAGCAGUUCUGAGGCUGAGGGGUCAGGGCAGGAUACUGCCUAUGAUAUACUUCCCCAUGCAUCUGUCCGUACCCUUCUCUUAGUCAGUUUUAUUGUUGCUGAGUUCGAAGUUAGAAGUUGAGAAGAGGUACACGACAGGUCAUAG